CACAUACUCAACCCGAUCCACAUC
rnacentral:siRNA from 1 species